rfam:Brachypodium distachyon strain Bd21 chromosome 1, whole genome shotgun sequence.
GAUAUACUCUCUUCGUUCCAUAAUUCUUGUCGAAAUAUUACAUGUAUCUAGACGCUUUUUAGUAAUAGAUACAUCCAUUUUUUGGCAAAUUUGAGACAAGAGUUAUGAAACGGAGGGAGUAUAUU